CGUACGCCGUGCAGAUACAAUCAGCUUAAUGCUUCGAAGGCCAAGGGCUAGCUAAGCUUCAAGUUCAUGAAAUUCAGGCAAUUAACUGCAUUCAACUAAUUUUUUAACUGAAACUAUAGGAGAACAGACAAAUUAUGGAACUGUCAGGAGAUAGUUAACGGUACAAAUUUUUAUUGAUAUAUGGCCAAAAUCAAAGAAGGGUGUUGGUAACCAACAAGUCAGAGGAGACCUCAAAACAGGAGCUGCUUAGGGUGGUGUUCACAACAUUUGGAGUGAAAGAAGAAGAUAUUUUUCCUGCAGACAUGGCAAGACAAAUUCUACGAUUUUGCAGACAUGGAAGAGGACGAACUUGUGACAGGGCCAUUGAGAGUAAAAAUUACAAACUACCUGUGGUCCUCGGUGCACAGCAACUGGUGAAUGGUGGAGAGCACAUAGAGUGGAUGAGCACUGAAAAAAAGGCAGCCAGACUUCAAGAGAGUUGAGUUCUGCAUGCAGAAGACACUGGCAGACAGAAGGGCAUGGAUCAUAAAUUCUGUCCCUCGGCCAAGGAUCACUGAUGACCGACUGAAGUAUCCUUGGCUCUUUGAUGAGGAUCAGGUAAUCUAUGCAGAGUUUUCUCACCAGAUUUGGAAAUAUACUGAAUAUCCCGAGAUUGAUUGAAUGCUGACGGACGUUGAUAGAGUUGCUUACUCAAUGUUUCCCUAUUACAGUGAUUUACAGAAUGUAUUGGAAACUUCUAACUCCACAUGGAUUAUCCAAACUUGCUCAUAAACUUAAUUUAUUCAAGACUGCGUAAGGUGUGAACUUCAUAUGUGGUCCUUGUAUGUAAAAUUCAGGUUAUUUUCUUGUCAAAGCAAUAUCACCUAAACAGCUUGAGGUAUGGAUGUAAAAACUUGGUGUUUAACAUGUACCAUCAUUAGGAAGACGAUUUGAAUGGAUUUUGGAAUAUGUAGGUCAAAGGUCAAUUUGUGAAAUUUAUUUGUUUAAACACAUUGUCACCUUAACAAUUUGAAAUAUAAAUGUGAAACUUGGUGCUAACAUGUACCACUAUAGGAGAUGAUCUGGAUAUAUUUUGGAAUAUGUAGCUCGAAAGUAAAUUUGUGAAAUUCAGGUAAUAUCUUUGUUAAUGCAAUGUCACCUUAACAGUAUGAAAUAUGGAUGUAAAACCUGCUAGCAUGUAUCACUGGGAAGAGGAUGCAUUGAGUAGUGUAUGUUUCAUUGACUGUUUUUGAAAAUUUGACUCAAUGUCUCUAAUCUUCAAAUUAAAGGUCUAGUCCACCCCAGGAAAAUACUGAUUUGAAUAAAUAGAGAAAAAUCAAACUAGCAUGAAAUUUUAAAGUUUCGCUUAUUUUCAACAAAACAGUGAUAUGCACAACUAGGUGAGCCAAUGAUGUCACUCACUAUUUCUUUUGUUUUUUAUUGUUUGAAUUAUACAAUAUUUCAAUUUUUACGAAUUUGAUGAUUAGGACCUCCUUGCCUGAAGCACAAAAUGUUAAAAUAAUUGAAUUCCACGUGUUCAGGGACGAAUGAAACUUCAUUUCACAUGACAAUGACGAGAAAAUCAAAAUAUUUCAUACUUCAUAUAAUAAAAUACAAAAGAAAUAGUGGGUGAGUGAUAUCAUCAGUUCCCUCAUUUGCAUACCGACUGAGGUGUGCAUAUAAGCGUUUUGUGAAAUGAAGCAAAACUUUAAAAUGUCAUAACUUUCUUAUUUUACAUCCGAUUUUGAUGAAAUUUUCAGUGUUAUGCUUGUUGAAUUUUUCUCUUUUUAUUCAAAUCAAGUUUUUUUUUUUUUUUUUUUUUUUUGGGGGGUGGACUUGUCCUUUAAUCUUGCCAUAUCUGUGCUACCUCUGUGUGUGAAAAGUACAUUAAUUUAUUUAGUUUAUUCAGGGAUUUUUUUUUGUAUAUACAUAUAGUCUUUCUACCUUGUCUUCUCAGUCAAACCAAAUCUUAUAAGAUCAACAGCAAAAAAAAAACAGUUUUCAGGAGUAUAUGACAUCAUUCUGCAUUCCAUACUUAAUUAAGCUUGACAUAUCUGUGCUAACUCUUAAUUUAUUUAGAAUAUUUAUGAUUUUUUAUGCCUCCGCCAACGAAGUGGCCGGAGGCAUUACGUUUUCGGGUCGUCCGUACGUCCGUCCCGUUUUGUUUUGUCGAAAUCUCAAGAACCGUGGAGUGGUUUUACAUCAAACUUGGUAUGAGGGUAUAUCCUGGGGGGAUAAUACUUUGUUUUGAUUUUAUGGUCACAGGUGAAAGGUCACAGAGGUCGUUAUAUACCUUAAAAUGUCCUGUUCUUGUGAUAACUUAACCAUUGGAGCUAAUAACUUCAAACUUGGUACAUUCUUUAUAUACAUAAUAGAGGGAGAAUGAUCUGAUUGGAUUUUGGGGUCACAUGGUCAAAGGUCACAGAGGUCAGUAUGCCUUAAAAUAUCUUGUUCUUGUGUAACUAAAGGAAUGUUAGAGGAAGUAACUCCAAACUUGGUACAUAUAUGCUUGAUAUAGGGGGGGGUUGCAGGGCCAAGUUCAAAGGUCAUAUACUUACAACUUUUUUAUCCAUUUAGUAAUUUUCUUGUGUUUUAUGAAUACUAAAAAUUAUUUUCAUAUAUCAAGUUUGAUUGUAGGUCAGUGUAUGCAUGAAAUUGUUCUUGUGAUAAACCAAAGACUUCGAUAGAUCAAUUUCAAAUAUGGACAAUGCGUACAUUAUGACAUUGACUUGAGAAGUUCAAAGGUCUAAGAGUUCAUGUCUCUUGUCACAAUUGCUUGUAGAUUCAAUAUUAAUGGUUCUUGGAUGCAUAUAUGAGAGUGAUCAAUAUGAUAAUAGAAAAUAUCAAUCAAGGUUUUCCGUUGGGUAGAUUUAAUUUUAUUGAAUAAUUUUUGCCUUAUCCAAACAUAAGUGAACACCAAAUGUUCAGGCCAGCUAUGGUAGGAAUCGAACUCACGAUCUCCUGGUUACUAGACAGGCGUCAUACAACUAGACCACCAGGAAUUAAGCCCGAUGGCUAUUGGCUGCUAUUAUGUGAUAUAUCAACACAGUACUGUACCUGCUGCUAUUAUGUGAAUCAAACCAGCUACCAGCCAUCGGGCUUCUCGGUGGUCAAGUGGUAUGACGCCUGUCUGAUAACCAGAAGGUCGUGGGUUCGAUUCCUACCCGAGCCUGUAAAAAAUUUUCUUAGCAGCUCAAACAUGCACUGAACAUUCAGUGUUUAUUUAUGUUGGGAUAAGGCAUAAAUUAUUUAAUAUAAAAAGAAUAGAACAAAUUUGAAGAUUUAUGGGAAAUUACCUGUGCAACAUAUUUCUGAUCUAGUGGCAAUGGCGGAGGCAUAAAUUUCGACUGUGUGCAGUCGAGAAUCCAUCUAGUUAUUUUCUUUUGUUUUUUGUAUAAAGUCUUUCUAACAUGUCUUCUUGGCCAAAUCAGUUAUAUGAAAUCAGCAGUAAUAAAACAGUUUUCAGGAGUACAUGUAUGGUCAUUUUCACAAUAUAUGGUGUAACUCUGAAAUUUCAAUGUUUUUAUCUGUAGCAUUCUCAUAAAGCCACAUAAUUUGAAGAUGCUUUGGCAUAUGAGUGACCUCAAUGAGUGCUACCUCGGGUAGCAUAGACAUCUUCACUCAUUACUUCGUUCAAUUUUGGCAGGCACAUAAGUACCCAAAGUUGCACCUUUUUUGUGUACAUAAAAUACAUAGACUUUUUUGUAAUGCCCUGUAUUAUUUCUGGAAUGUUGAGGAUUACUUUUGGCAUGCAGAAUGUGAAGUCAGAUGUUCAAUGAAAAAUACCAGAUAGGUUUUUAGUGUGACUGCUUCUUUAUUUUUGAGAACAGGGUGGUCUAAUUUGUUGUUUCAGAGGCUUCAUUUUCCGUUAACAUUAGCUAACAAACUUUGUAUUCCGAGCAGUGGUUUAAAAAAAAAAAAAAUUCUGCUCCCUAGGACCUUUAUGCAACAUUUGAAGUAGAAACUUCCAAAUAAUAACAAAAUAUCUUUGAUCACACUUCUUUUUACAAUUUUUUCAAAGCCUAACUGAUGAAGGUAAAUUUUCCGUUAACUGUUUUGAAGCCUCCGAAACAAACUUUACAGACCGCUCAUAUAAAUAUGAACGAAGGAACUUGACCAAUCAAUACAUCACAUUGUAGUAUCUGGACACCUAGUUCACCUGUCAAUAAAUAGCAGAGAUAUUCCUUGCUGUUUGAAAAUAAGAGAUGAUACAAACUUUCCGUUAACAGUUGAAGCCUCCGAAACACUUGAAGCCUCCGAAACAGUCAAAUCACUUGUUUUGAUUUUUUUUGUUCCUUCAAUCAAAAAUUCCCAGGUUAAAUCUGUAUUGUAAUCAUAUGUUAUGUUGUAUAGACUGGCCUCAGGUAGAAAUUGUAUGUAUAUCAAUUCAAUUUUUUUCAGAACUUGCUGAUAACAUGAAAAUUCUGUUUUGGAGGCUUCAAACAUCAGUUAACACAUGUUUUUUUGUUAUUCUGAAUUCAUAGAUAAGAGAGUGUUCACAUAUUGAAUUUAUUUUGGUUGGUUUUGAUCUACUAAAGAACAGAAACAUUUCAUUUUAUGAAUUAAUCAUAUUUUUUAAGUUAUACCUGAGCUAAGUAUUUGAGAUGGUAUUUUCCACUCAUAAAACAUGCAUUUCCCUAUUUCUAACUCAGAAUAUAUAAAAAUUACACAUUAACUAAAAGAAAGAAAGUUCACACAUAUAAACCAUGUAACGUUGAUAUUGUAAUAUACAGUGGCUCAAAAUAAAGCUCUGCAUUUUCCCAAAUUAACAGGCAUCCUAAACUUAUGUUAAUACUUGUUUCGGAAGCUUCAAAGAAGAGUUAACACCGCCGGUAUUUUGUGUUAUUCCAAUGUCCUGGAUAAGAAAAAUUUGGCAUUUUUUCAACAGCACGUUUGGUUUUGAUCUCUAAAAUUACAGGAAUGAGCAUGUCUUCAUCAGAUUUUCAUAUUUUUAAUGAUAUACAAAAGAACUUGUAUUUGUGAUUCAAUUUUACAGUUGUAAACAUGUGUUACCCUCUAUCAAAUUCAGGUUUUUUUAUUGUUUAGAUACAUGCAUACUUACACACAUGCGCACAAAUAUACAAUGUAAUAUUUAGGAACAAUUUAGGAAGACUUUAAUAUACAAAUAUUUAAAAUUAAUCUUUGCAUUUUCUCAAAUAUCAAGGCAUCUGAGACAUGUACAUGUAAAUUCUCGUAUGAUUCAGAGGCUUCAUUCUCUUUUCCAUAUACCAUUAUAAGUUUUUGGCUUAAAGGAAACUUUCUUAAAUUACUUUCUGUGACAGAUGUAUUGCAAUCUGUUUGCCUUGAAGGAUUUUCAUUUCAGUUGAAUUUAUACAAAAGCUGAUCACAAUUUUGUCUCAUACUUAGAUUUCCAGGUUGUCUCUACAAAAAUAUUAAGUUUUGAAAGGUAUAUUUAGAUGCAAUUUAGAAUGUGAUUUGAUAUGAUUUGUUUAUAAAUACUUUAUGUACAGCUUACGAUGUACAGUAUGUCUUCAUUAAGAAAAAAGGUGGGAAGAAAACCAAGUGCCAAAGAUGACAAAAGAUCAAGAUGAAAGCAAAGCAUGAUUUAAAACUUAGAUAUUGAGAAAAUAACUAACUAAAUCCUUGAGAAGACUGUGUUGACAAUAAUGUCCUAUGAUUAACAAUUUUUUUUCAACUAUAAUUUGAUUAAUUUUAUGAGCUUGAGCUCUAGGUAGGUAUAGGUGGAUAGUUAGUACUUUUGCCAUAAAUAGAAUUGCCCUAACACCAUUCACUACAAGUGAUUCCAAUACCAACAAUUGUUUUGAAUUAUAAUCAUGUACAUAUAACUUACAUGUAUUGUAUGUACUUUUUUUAAACAGCUUGUUGUUGUAUAAUGCAAAGUAAAGUGCUAUUAAGUAAAUCAGAAAGUGCAGUAUCAAUAAUUGCACGUACAUGAUUGCUCAUGGCUAUGUUCCUAAACACUAAAGGCAUAUAACAAAUUAAUUGCCAACCAACUUUCUGCAUGAUAAUUUGGGAUUUUUUUUAAUAAUUGGAUUUAACAUAACAAUAAACAAGUGUUAAAAUUUAAAUAAUCUGUUAGCUAAAUGAUGGAAAAUGCAAUAUGUUAACAUGUUUGAAGUCUCCGAAACACUCUGUGAACCCUAGCAAAGCCACUGAAACACAAGUUUCGGCAUUUCAUCACUUUGUUUAUGCAUCAUAAAUAUUCUUUUCUGUAGUUAGAUGUAUUUCUAUUACUAUAUUCCCUUUAAAGCUGAAUGUUUACCUAUCUUUAGCAACAAGGCAUUGGUCUUUGUGUAAGUUAACAUUCGUGAAUUACAUUUUCCCAUUCACAAGACAUUAGUUUGUUUGAUUUUGUUUGCAUUCAGUCUUAUAACUGAUAUGCCAUAUGAAAAAGGGAGAGUUGUAAAAGUAAUCAACUUUAAUAAGGGACUUUUAUAGUGCUAACAUGACUGAAGUCUCCGAAACACAUACUUUUGUUAACUGAAGCCUCCGAAACACACUUGUGAGAAAUUUCCAACUUUCUUACUUGGUAUCUGAUUUCCAUGGGAUUUGUGUUAGUAAUAAACAUUCAUGGAGAAGUUAAUGUACAAUAAGUUUUGCUUUCCUCUUCCUCUUGGAAGACAUGUAAUUUUAAACACUUUGUUGUCAAAAUCCAAAUUUGUGAUAAACUCAUAGAAAUUUUUACAAAACUAUUAAAGUUUGAUUCCAAAACUUUUAAAAACCUCAAAGAACAUUUAAUUUGUGAAUAAAAAAUGGCAAAUGAAAAUAUUUUCCUUGAAAAAAUUUGUCAAUUUGGUAAUAAAAUCAAAAGACUGAUUUUAUUCAUUUUUUUUUUCAUUUUUCACAGUUGCACAUAAUUUUUUUCAGGUUUCUCAAGUAGAUUAAGCUCCAGAACAGACAGAAAUGAAGAAUUAAGAUAUUUAUUGACCUGUUUUUAGUAGAAAUGUUUAUGACAGUCCAUUUUGAAAUUUUGAUCGUGAAUUUUGAAAGUUACACCCUUGACCGUGAAAAGGACCGUAUACAUUCCUUACUUAGUUUAGCUUGCCAUAUCUGUGCUAACUGUUUGUGUGAAAAGUACAAAAUUUAUAAAGAAUGUAUUAAAAUUUAUGUGGGUUCUUUUAUAGAUAUGUAUUCAAACCUGCCAUGUAUAAAGACUUGCCUCUUUUGUCAGCUAACUUGGGUAAUGUUUCCAGAGCUGUACAUGUAGUACUGUAUUAGAUGUGUUUGACUUUAUUUUUAUUAAAAGUUUUCAUUGCGUUGUUCUUAA